rnacentral:sRNA from 1 species
UUAUGUGUGAGGAGUAAAAGUAAUACGUAAAGACCUUUGGAGUCGAAACAAGGUAAGACGCCCAAAGGUCUUUCGUUA